rnacentral:rRNA from 1 species
UACGUAGGGUGCAAGCGUUAAUCGGAAUUACUGGGCGUAAAGCGUGCGCAGGCGGUUUUGUAAGUCUGUCGUGAAAGCCCCGGGCUUAACCUGGGAAUUGCGAUGGAGACUGCAAGGCUUGAAUCUGGCAGAGGGGGGUAGAAUUCCACGUGUAGCAGUGAAAUGCGUAGAGACGUGGAGGAACACCGAUGGCGAAGGCAGCCCCCUGGGUCAAGAUUGACGCUCAUGCACGAAAGCGUGGGGAGCAAACAGG